rnacentral:tRNA from 1 species
AACAAAACGUAGCUUAAUAAAAGCACUUCGCUUACACCGAAGCGACAUCUGUUAAACCCGGAUCGUUUU